CAUAUCGCAUUGAAACACCAGUUCUCCUCCAAUCACUGAAGUUAAGCAAUGUUGAGCCUAGUCAGUACCUAGAUGGGUGACAGCUUGGAAAUACCUGAUGCUGUAAG